rnacentral:rRNA from 1 species
AACGUAGGAGACAAGCGUUAUCCGAAUUUACUGGGCGUAAAGCGCGUGCAGGUGGUAGGGUAAGUUGAAUGUGAAAUCUUCUGGCUCAACUGGGAGAGGCUGUUCAAAACUACCCAACUAGAGGACGGUAGAGGGAGGUGGAAUUCCCGGUGUAGUGGUGAAAUGCGUAGAUAUCGGGAGGAACACCUGUGGCGAAAGCGGCCUCCUGGACCGUACCUGACGCUCAGACGCGAAAGCUAGGGGAGUGAACGGG